rnacentral:rRNA from 1 species
UACGUAGGGUGCAAGCGUUAAUCGGAAUUACUGGGCGUAAAGCGUGCGCAGGCGGUUAUUCAAGACAGAUGUGAAAUCCCCGGGCUUAACCUGGGAACCGCAUUUGUGACUGCAUAGCUGGAGUACGGGAGGGGGGGAUGGAAUUCCGCGUGUAGCAGUGAAAUGCGUAGAUAUGCGGAGGAACACCGGUGGCGAAGGCGGCCACCUGGACGGAUACUGACGCUGAGACGCGAAAGCGUGGGGAGCAAACAGG